GAUGAACGCUGGCGGCGUGCCUAAUACAUGCAAGUCGAGCGAAUGGAUUAAGAGCUUGCUCUUAUGAAGUUAGCGGCGGACGGGUGAGUAACACGUGGGUAACCUGCCCAUAGGACUGGGAUAACUCCGGGAAACCGGGGCUAAUACCGGAUAACAUUUUGAACCGCAUGGUUCGAGAUUGAAAGGCGGCUUCGGCUGUCACUUAUGGAUGGACCCGCGUCGCAUUAGCUAGUUGGUGAGGUAACGGCUCACCAAGGCAACGAUGCGUAGCCGACCUGGGGGGGUGACCGGCCAAACUGGGACUGAGACACGGCCCAGACUCCUACGGGAGGCAGCAGUAGGGAAUCUUCCGCAAUGGACGAAAGUCUGACGGAGCAACGCCGCGUGAGUGAUGAAGGCUUUCGGGUCGUAAAACUCUGUUGUUAGGGAAGAACAAGUGCUAGUUGAAUAAGCUGGCACCUUGACGGUACCUAACCAGAAAGCCACGGCUAACUACGUGCCAGCCGCCGCCGUAA
rnacentral:rRNA from 1 species